rnacentral:rRNA from 1 species
UCAAGCUGUAAAGGGCGCAAGGGGAAUGCCUUGGCACUGAGAGCCGAUGAAGGACGCGACAAGCUGCGAUAAGCUACGGGGAGCCGCAAAUGGGCUUUGAUCCGUAGAUUUCCGAAUGGGGAAACCCGGCAGAGCAAUACUCUGUCAACGUACACUGAAUACAUAGGUGUACGUGGGGAACCGCCUGAACUGAAACAUCUAAGUAGGGCGAGGAAGAGAAAUCAACCGAGAUUCCGCUAGUAGUGGCGAGCGAACGCGGAAGAGGCCAAACCGGAGGUAGCAAUAUUUCCGGGGUUAGGACUGCAACAUGUAACUUUAAUCUUUAACUGAAUGCUUUGGGAAGAGCAGCGAAACAGGGUGACAGCCCCGUAAGUGAAAGAGAUUGAGUGCUAGCAGUAUCCAGAGUACCAGCGGACACGUGAAACCCGCUGGGAAGAUGGGGGGACCAUCCUCCAAGCCUAAAUACUACUCAGUGACCGAUAGUGGAGCAGUACCGUGAGGGAAAGGUGAAAAGUACCCCGGGAGGGGAGUGAAAGAGAACCUGAAACCUUGUGCCUACAAGCACCGAGAGCACGUUAAAGUGUGAUCGGGUACUUUUUGUAGAACGGUCCGGCGAGUUAAUAUUUGCAGCGAGGUUAAGUAACUGGAGUUACGGAGCCGCAGCGAGAGCGAGUCUGAAUAGGGCGUAUGAAGUUGCAGGUAUUAGACCCGAAACCGGGUGACCUAUCCAUGAGCAGGCUGAAGCGGUGGUAAGACACCGUGGAGGGCCGCACCCACGUCUGUUGAAAAAGCCGGGGAUGACUUGUGGAUAGCGGAGAAAUUCCAAUCGAACUCGGAGAUAGCUGGUUCUCCCCGAAAUAGCUUUAGGGCUAGCGUUAUUUUAGAUUACCGGAGGUAAAGCACUGAAUGGUCUAGGGGCCGCGAGGUUACCAAAGCCUAUCAAACUCUGAAUGCCGGAUAAUUGAUGAAUAGCAGUCAGACUGUGUGAGAUAAGUCUCAUAGUCAAAAGGGAAACAGCCCAGAUCUACAGCUAAGGUCCCAAAUGAACACUAAGUGGAAAAUGAUGUGAAACUGCGAAGACAACCAGGAUGUUGGCUUAGAAGCAGCCACUCAUUCAAAGAGUGCGUAAUAGCUCACUGGUCGAGUGGUUUUGCGCAGAAAAUGUAACGGGGCUAAGUGUUCAACCGAAGCUUAGGCAUUGUACUUUGUACAUUGGGUAGGGGAGCGUCGUAUGCGGGGCGAAGUCAGAGCGGAAGCACUGGUGGACUGCAUACGAGUGAGAAUGCCGGAAUAAGUAGCGAGAAUUAUGUGAGAAUCAUAAUGGCCGAAAAUCUAAGGUUUCCUGGGGAAGGUUCGUCCGCCCAGGGUUAGUCGGGAGCUAAGCUCAGGCCGAAAGGCGUAGGCGAUGCACAUACGGUAGAAAUUCCGUAACCACCGAACUUUAAGCUAGAGGGACGCUUUCUUUAAGGUUAUCCCGGGCGAUGGUUGCCCCGGGCGCAAGGGACCGAAAUUUAGUAGGGAAGUAACUGGCGAGAGAGACGAGAAAAGCUCUAGUGUAUACUAAGGUGCCCGUACCGCAAACCGACACAGGUAGAAGGGAUGAGUAUUCUAAGGCCAACGGGAGAAGGGUUGUUAAGGAACUCGGCAAAUUGGCCCCGUAACUUCGGGAUAAGGGGCGCCUGCGAGAGCAGGCCGCAGUGAAAAGGCCCAAGCGACUGUUUAGCAAAAACACAGCUCUCUGCUAAAUCGAAAGAUGACGUAUAGGGGGUGACGCCUGCCCGGUGCUGGAAGGUUAAGGGGAGUGCUUAGCGCAAGCGAAGGUGCGAACUUAAGCCCCAGUAAACGGCGGCCGUAACUAUAACGGUCCUAAGGUAGCGAAAUUCCUUGUCAGGUAAGUUCUGACCCGCACGAAUGGCGUAACGAUUUGGGCACUGUCUCAACAGCCCGCCCGGCGAAAUUGUAGUACCGGUGAAGAUGCCGGUUUCCCGCAACUAGACGGAAAGACCCCAUGGAGCUUCACUGUAGCUUGAUAUUGGAUCUCGGUAUUCCAUGUACAGGAUAGGUGGGAGGCUAGGAAGCGAGCGCGCCAGCGUUCGUGGAGCCAACCUUGGGAUACCACUCUUGGGAUAUUGGGAUUCUAACCUGCGACCAUGAAACUGGUCAGCGAUGCAGAUGCUGUUUGUUGGGGCUCUUUGGCACAGCGAAGCGAAAAGUCACGUGCUGCAAUCUUGAGACUCAUAGAUGCCGUGCCGGAUACCUCUUUGAAGGUGUUUGAUAUUAAUAUCAGGCAACAUUUUUAUUCGACAGACUUGAUUGUGGAAUCCUUGCAAAAAGCAAAUGUACUCAAAUUGAAUGAAGACGAAUUGCCGUUAUUGAUCUCUCUUCUUUCCCUUUCGACUGAUUGUGUGGAAGCUAUCGCAGAACUCAUUGCUCGUUUUUCGCUCAAAUAUGUUAUAUUCACACAGGGGGCAGUACGUAGUGGCAUAUACGAUGACAGUGGGGAAAUUUCAUCCAUAGAUACACCUAAAGUCGAGGUGGCCGAUACUGUAGGUGCAGGCGACUCGUUUACUGCUACCUUUGUUGUGAACAUACUUAGAGGGGCGUCGGUCGCUGAAUCACACCGCAAAGCGGUAGAUGUAUCGGCAUAUACUUGUACACAAAGGGGAGCUAUUAAUCCGUUGCCGGAUAGUAAAA